UACAGAGGUCCCAAGCGUUGUUCGGAUUCACUGGGCGUAAAGGGUGCGUAGGUGGUCGGGUAAGUCUGAUGUGAAAUCUCGGAGCUCAACUCCGAAACGGCAUUGGAUACUAUUCGGCUUGAGGGUUGGAGGGGGGACUGGAAUUCUCGGUGUAGCAGUGAAAUGCGUAGAUAUCGAGAGGAACACCAGUGGCGAAGGCGAGUCCCUGGACCAGCACUGACACUGAGGCACGAAAGCGUGGGGAGCAAACAGG
rnacentral:rRNA from 1 species